AUCAUCCGUUCUGUUUUAUGCUUCCCUUCCGCGCCGCAGAAGAAAGAAUAGCCUGUUGCUAGGAGACCCUAAGGGAAUCCCAAACACCGCAUUGACAGAGAGAGGGUUUUGUCCUUUUUACUUGAACAAAGUGGAAAAUCGCAUCAUUUAUCUCACUUUCCAUUCAUCUUCUGUGAUUAUAAAGGUUUUGAUCUAACCUGGAUACUGAGCCAUGUGGAUCUCUGGAAAAGCAUCUCCAUCUCCAAAAUCCUAACUACUGAGGAAGCUGCAUGUUGUGAUAUGCCCUAUGAAGCGGAUGAUGUGCCAGGGAACUGAGGGAGGCUGACAGCCAGUGAGAAGCUGAAGCCUCAGUCUGACAACCUGUGAGGAACUAAGCCCUGCCAACAACCAAAGCAAUCUUGGAAACAGAGUAACUCUCAAUCAGGCCUUCAGGAAUUGAACUCCGGAUCCUGUGCUCACAAGGCAGGCGCUG